GCACGGCGGUCCCCUAGCCUGAUCCAGCUGUUCUGGACACGAUGCUACCCACGUCGGGCCAGAGCCCCCCACCAUGGCUGUGCCGCCCACAUAGGCCCAAGUCCACUGGGUUGCACCCUCUCUCUGACCUUGGCUUGCUCGGCCUCGCUGGUGGUCUUCCCAGCUGGAAUGUGCUCCUGUCUAUAGAACUGGAACCCAGAUCCACUAACACUUAACUGGCUGUGUUAGCUAGGGCCAGUGUCUUAACCCCUCUGAGCCUUCGUCCACCUGCAAAGUGGGCGUGAAACCAAAGAGGCCUCAGCGUCGUGGUGAGAAGCACACACCUGGCACUUGGUCAACUCUCAAUAAUGGAAGUAUUGUUUACAGUGGAGGCAAGGGAAGAGAGCAUAAUGCAGAGUGGCCUCUGAAACCACUCACGGCCCCGCCCAUAACCUGCGACCCACAGCGUUGGGAGAGUUUCUGCUUUGAAAUGUGUUUAAGAAAUCCAUCCCUGCCACAAUCCCAGCACUUGGGAGGCUCAAGAAAUAGGAUGGACGUGAGCUUGAGGCUGUAUUGGUUACAUGCAAGACCCUGCUUUCAGAUAGACCAACCUGCAGUUGCUCCCCAAUUAACCUUAAGUCGCCAAUCUAAGAUUUCCUGGUUCUUCUCAAGAACUCUCAAGCAGACUCCAGGUAAGUACUCCUGCCGACCAACAGUCUGUUUUCCUGCCCACUGCCUAUUCCUAAGGGUGGGAUCUCUCCCCGUUCCCUGGGAUCUCUCCAUGGGAUCUCUCCCUGGGAUUGCUCCCCUUCCCUGUCUUGAGACUCCUCUUCCCAGCUACCAGGACCAUGGACCUAAAAGUUUCAAAUGUAUAUCCAAGAAAAAAAAUUUUUUUUCCUCUGUCCCUAGUUUAUCUGUUCCAACAGAUUUCAAAUCAACUAUAGACUGCUCCAGCUCCUUGAAAUCUGCACCCUGGUCCGGCCUCACAGACCUCAAUUCCCUAACCUCAGAUGGUCCCACAGAACCUGAACUUCGACUGACACAGCCUGCUCUUCCCAACCUUGACCAACAACCCGGCUUCCUUGGGUCCCCUAAUAAGGACCGUCCCCUAAUAAGGACCGUCCCUUAAUAAGGACCCCUCAGCAUCAGCCGGAAGCAGACACAGAACGAUGCCCACUCACCCAACACUCAACGACCCAAUAAUAAAAGAAAAAGGUCAGAAUGAAGGACUCGGACCAGCUCGAGCAUGGUGGCAUGGUUCUGGCAGGUCUCGCCCUUCUUCCAGGUUCCCUCUGCCUUGCUAAAAAACGUUAGAUUACAUUCCUACAGCUAGGCACCAAGGUUUAUUCCCUUAUUUGGCCACUUCCUCCUUCUGAGGCUGACCACCAAGGUCCAGCUAUUGAAGUAUUGAAGUCUAGAAAUCAAAAGCCCCCUUUGGCUCAUCUAAUAAACACGCCCAAUUAAAAUUAAACACCUCAUCCUGACAUGCUGUUUCCCCCUUUAUCUUUAUAAGCCGCCAUUUGCCUACGAUCCACGUCUGUCUCCUCCCUGUCCAGCAGCUGUCCUUUGCCCCCCAGUACCCUUUCCUCUUUCCCUUCUUCCCUUCCCCUUCUCCCUUGUCCUUCAUCUCCUGUCUUUGUCUCUUAUUCCCUGCCCUCUGAGUCCAAUAAACCUCCUUUGUGCUGAGAACGUGGUCCUGGGGGUCCUGAGACGAUCCUUUUCCUUUCUGUGACUCUACCCCGGUCCACUCUCCCAUACCGGAAGGAACCAGUCAUAUCUCUCUGCGUUUGCUCAGCACCGACCCUCAACGUCAUGCACAGUGCUUGGAAUAUGGGAGGUGCCCAGUAAAUACUUGCAAGAUGCGACUCAGGAGGCAAAAGGUUAAUGGUUUGCAGGUCAGCUUGGGCAACGCGCCAAGAUCGGUGCCUGUCUCGAGUCGAAACAUAAUGACAAAACAAGCAAACAUCCCAGGGUGAAGGAGUUCUGUGUGUUACUCCUUCAGUGGGAGGGGUGGCCCCUGCUUCUGUGUGUGGCCGACUCUCCUGUCCUCCCCUGUUCCCCCGAUACUCCUCACAGCCACCCUGCUCUGAGCCUCCUAUCUGCUCUCCUGGAGCCCCCUGCCCUAAGAAGGGGAGCUGAGGAGAUUACCUAGACGUCCCUGGGUAGAAUGUUGCUGCCUUGCUGCCUGCUAACCAAAAAGGUCAAAGGAACUUGUGUAGCUCGUGGAAAAACAGGUUCCUCACCCCCUCUCUUCCCCUACCCCUCUCAACCUUGCUCAGGGUUUCCCUGGAAAGGGUUAAAUCAUUUACAGAAGGCAGGAGGCUCCCUCCACACUUGAGAGCUCUAGAGAUGUUCUGUAAAAGGUCAGAUGUUUCCAGGACCUCAACAGACAGCCUGUGUCUGUUUACAUAGAAAGAUGACGAGUUCCCGGCACCCAGCCAGCCCUCGUGGGCAGCCUUUGCCUGGUUCGGCAGACACCAGGCCAGAUGCCAGGACAAGAGCAACCCACCACCCUCACCCUCCUGACAGCCAGACUGCAGUUUUCUAAGUUUCAGCCCAGGCAAGGCUGGAACCCCACAAACAGGGCACACACAGCUCUCUGAGCCUGGGAAUCCUGGGGGUGGCAACUUCUUGUAGACCCUGAACGUUUUCAGCUGGAAGGGACUGUACUCUGGGGUUGUCAUUUUAAAGAUGAGGCUCAGAGUGGGGUGGCUCUGCCGCCUGCAGAAAAAUCCGGACCCAGAGUAUGCAAGCCCAGCUCCAAAUCCAGCCUAGAACAAAGGACUGUGGGAUUCUGGGGGGCAAUGGGCCGUUUCCACUGGUCUGCGUGAGUGAGGUCAGAGCACAGCUUGUAGGAAUCAGCUCUCCCCUUUCCCAAGGUUUCCUCCAGAAUGGAACCCAGCUCCUGUGGAAAGCACCUUUCCCCGCUGAGCCAUCUUGUCCACCUCGAGCAAAAUGUUCGGCUUUAGAGGACCAAACAAUUAUUUAUCUAACUACAGAGAAACACGAAAGCAUGCAAAUCUGCUGAAAGCAUUAAACAGAAAUGUAAAAAGCAUUUGUGAAAGCAUUUGUGUUUUCUGACUCAUUGCUCUUAAAAGUACCUAAGUGUGGACUUUGAAAAGAAGAGGAGGUGGGCUCUGGGGCAUAGCUCAGAAAUAGAGUACAUUGUCCCUGGGUUUGAUUCUCCGUCCCCAUCUCCCCACACAUGCAAAAGAAGAAAAACAAAACAAAGACCCAACCACCUUACCUGUGGUCUCAGUGUCCCAGAGGUGAAGACAGGAGGGCCAGGAGGAGUCCCGGGUCAUCUGCUGUUAGAGAAACCCUGCCGCAGAGAAAGCGAACUAACAGACAUCUUUAGUUUCCUCUGUUUUGUUUUUUGAGACAAGGUUUCUCUGUGUAGUCCUGGCUGUCCUGGAACUCCCUCUGUAGACCAGGCUGGCCUGGAACUACAGAGAUCCACCUGCCUCUGCCUCUGCCUCUCGAGUGCUGGGAUUAAGGCGUGGGCCACCACCGCCCGUUGGGAAGAUAGAUUCUAUUCCGGCGCUUUCCACAGUUUCUUAGUUUUUAGGUUUUUGUAGUGCACGUGAUAAGUAACAAAAACAAAGUCUGCUUCACUUGUCCUUUGUCUUAAGUUACUUCCUUUCCUUUUUUGUUUUUGUUUUGAGGCAGGGUCUCACUAUGUAGUCCUGGCUGGCCUGCAGCCCACUAUGUUAACGAGACUGGCCUAGAACUCACAGAGAUCCAACCACCUCUGCCCCCUGACUGCUGGGAUUCAGGUACUAUUUUCUAUCAAAGCUUAAGAGACUCUGCUCUCAGAGGCGACAGGACCUGAAAGACUGGGAGCCUGGGACCCGGUUUGUGUGGCAUGUGACUUUGGGCAAGGCAAUGUAAUGGCUAAAGUUAUGUUUUACAUUUAAAUUACUGUGCUUAAGAGAUCUAUAAAAACAAAAAUGCCUCUAAUGUAUAAGCCCCACUUGCCCAAGGACAGAUAACUUCCUGGAAUGCUGGGGCCUGUUGCUCAUGUAAGAUAACAAGCCACGUGUUUUCACGUCUGUAAACAAGCUUGGUUGCCCCAACUGCACAGGAUGUGCUUGAUCACACACAGGCAGGAGGUACGUAGGCAGGAAGUAUGUCAGGAUGUAUGCUUGCCCCUGACUGGGCGAAGAUGAGAAGUACAAAGCAUUAUGGAUUUUGCCUUUAUAAGCACCUGACUAAUGUAAUUCACUGCUGUUCUCUGAGAAUCCUGGGUAUGGA